rfam:Otolemur garnettii contig162489, whole genome shotgun sequence.
ACAAAGGCUCUUUUCAGAGCCACUCACGUUGUCAUGAAGAGCAGCU